rnacentral:rRNA from 1 species
CCAAACUGUUGCCUCGGCGGGAUCUCUGCCCCGGGGGCUUCCCACCCCCGAACCAGGGCCCCCGCCGAAGGACCAACCUAACUCUUUUAUGGAAUCCCCCCUCGGGGGUUUUUUUUUAAUCUGAUCAUUUCUCGGCGCCUCUCGUCAGAGUUUUCAAAAUGAAUCAAAACUUUCAACAGCGGAUCUCUUGGUUCUGGCAAAUAUGAAAAACAAUGCGAAUUGCAAUAUUUAAUGUGAAUUGCAAAAUUCGAACAAUCAUCGAAUCUUUGAACGCACAUUGCGCCCGCCAGUAUUCUGGCGGGCAUGCCUGUCCGAACGCCAUUUCAACCCUCAAACCCCUCCGGGGGGUCGGCGUUGGGGAUCGGCCCUCCCUUAGCGGGUGGCCGUCUGUCAAAUACAGUGGCGGUCUCCCCACAACCUCUCCUGCACAGCACCUUGCACACUCUCAUCGGGAGCGCGGCGCGUCCACAACUUUUAAACACCCAACUUCUGAAAUGUUGACCUCAGACCAGGUAGGAAUACCCGUUAAACUUCGGAAUAUCAAUAAGCAGAAGAAU